UACGGAGGGAGCUAGCGUUAUUCGGAAUUACUGGGCGUAAAGCGCACGUAGGCGGCUUUGUAAGUGAGAGGUGAAAGCCCGGAGCUCAACUCCGGAACUGCCUUUUAGACUGCAUCGCUUGAAUCCAGGAGAGGUGAGUGGAAUUCCGAGUGUAGAGGUGAAAUUCGUAGAUAUUCGGAAGAACACCAGUGGCGAAGGCGGCUCACUGGACUGGUAUUGACGCUGAGGUGCGAAAGCGUGGGGAGCAAACAGG
rnacentral:rRNA from 1 species